rnacentral:rRNA from 1 species
AGCAGUCGCCGCGGUAAUACGGAGGGAGCUAGCGUUGUUCGGAAUUACUGGGCGUAAAGCGCGCGUAGGCGGUUACUCAAGUCAGAGGUGAAAGCCCGGGGCUCAACCCCGGAACUGCCUUUGAAACUAGGUGACUAGAAUCUUGGAGAGGUCAGUGGAAUUCCGAGUGUAGAGGUGAAAUUCGUAGAUAUUCGGAAGAACACCAGUGGCGAAGGCGGCUCACUGGACUGGUAUUGACGCUGAGGUGCGAAAGCGUGGGGAGCAAACAGGAUUAGAUACCCCAGUAGUCCCUGUCUCUUAUAC